AGAGUUUGAUCAUGGCUCAGGAUGAACGCUGGCGGCGUGCCUAACACAUGCAAGUCGAACGAAGCGGUUUUGGUGAAGUUUUCGGAUGGAACCGGAACUGACUGAGUGGCGGACGGGUGAGUAACGCGUGGGUAACCUGCCUCAUACAGGGGGAUAACAGUUAGAAAUGACUGCUAAUACCGCAUAAGCGCACGGGACCGCAUGGUUUUGUGUGAAAAGCCGAGACGGUAUGAGAUGGACCCGCGUCUAAUUAGCUGGUUGGUGGGGUAACGGCCCACCAAGGCGACGAUCAGUAGCCGACCUGAGAGGGUGACCGGCCACAUUGGGACUGAGACACGGCCCAAACUCCUACGGGAGGCAGCAGUGGGGGAUAUUGCACAAUGGGGGAAACCCUGAUGCAGCGACGCCGCGUGAGUGAAGAAGUAUUUCGGUAUGUAAAGCUCUAUCAGCAGGGAAGAGAAUGACGGUACCUGAGUAAGAAGCCCCGCUAACUACGUGCCAGCAGCCGCGGUAAUACGUAGGGAGCGAGCGUUAUCCGG
rnacentral:rRNA from 1 species